UCUUCCAUAGUAUAGUGGUCAGUAUGCAAGCUUGUCACGCUUGAGACCCGGGUUCAAUUCCCGGUGGGAGAG
rnacentral:tRNA from 1 species